rnacentral:rRNA from 1 species
GAUGAACGCUGACAGAAUGCUUAACACAUGCAAGUCUUUGGCGAAGCUGUGCUUGCACAGCCUAGCCAAGGCGGACGGGUGAGUAACGCGUAAGGAACUUGCCCUGCAGUCAGGGAUAACAGACGGAAACGACUGAUAAGACCUGGUAAAGUCAGGCGGACUCAUGUCCAGCCUGAUGAAAAGAGAUGCUGCAGGAGAGCCUUGCGUCCUAUUAGCUUGUUGGUGGGGUAACGGCACACCAAGGCGAUGAUAGGUAGCCGGCCUGAGAGGGUGGACGGCCACAAGGGGACUGAGAUACGGCCCUUACUCCUACGGGAGGCAGCAGUGGGGAAUAUUGGACAAUGGGGGCAACCCUGAUCCAGCAAUUCUGUGUGCACGAUGAAGGUUUUCGGAUUGUAAAGUGCUUUCAGCAGGGAAGAAAAAAAUGACGGUACCUGCAGAAGAAGCGACGGCUAAAUACGUG